rnacentral:rRNA from 1 species
GACGAACGCUGGCGGCGUGCUUAACACAUGCAAGUCGAACAGAAAGGCCCUGCUUGCAGGGUACUCGAGUGGCGAACGGGUGAGUAACACGUGGGUGAUCUGCCCUGCACUUCGGGAUAAGCCUGGGAAACUGGGUCUAAUACCGGAUAGGAGCCAUUUUUAGUGUGAUGGUUGGAAAGUUUUUUCGGUGUAGGAUGAGCUCGCGGCCUAUCAGCUUGUUGGUGGGGUAAUGGCCUACCAAAGCGGCGACGGGUAGCCGGCCUGAGAGGGUGGACGGCCACAUUGGGACUGAGAUACGGCCCAGACUCCUACGGGAGGCAGCAGUGGGGAAUAUUGCACAAUGGGCGCAAGCCUGAUGCAGCGACGCCGCGUGGGGGAUGACGGCCUUCGGGUUGUAAACUCCUUUCGCUAGGGACGAAGCUUUUUGUGACGGUACCUAGAUAAGAAGCACCGGCUAACUACGUG